rnacentral:rRNA from 1 species
GAUGAACGCUGGCGGCGUGCCUAAUACAUGCAAGUCGAGCGAACGGACGAGAAGCUUGCUUCUCUGAUGUUAGCGGCGGACGGGUGUGUAACACGUGGAUAACCUACCUAUAAGACUGGUAUAACUUCGGGAAACCGGAUCUAAUACCGGAUAAUAUUUUGAACCGCAUGGUUCAAUAGUGAAAUACGUUCUUGCUUUCACUUAUAGAUGGAUCCGCGCUGCAUUAGCUAGUUGGUAAGGUAACGGCUUACCAAGGCAACGAUGCAUAGCCGACGUGAGAGGGUGAUCGGCCACACUGGAAAGGAGACACGGACAAGAGGCCUACGGGAGGCAGCAGAAGGGAAUGUUACGCAAUGGGGGAAAGCAUGACGGAGCAACGCCGAGUGAGAGAUGAAGGACUUGGGAUCGUAAAACUCUGUUAUUAGGGAAGAACAAAUGUGUAAGUAAAUGUGCACAGAUUGACGGUAACUAAUCAGAAAGCAACGGCUAACUACGUG